rnacentral:rRNA from 1 species
UACGGAGGGUGCAAGCGUUGUCCGGAUUUAUUGGGUUUAAAGGGUGCGUAGGCGGUCUUUUAAGUCAGCGGUGAAAUUACUGAGCUCAACUCGGUGACUGCCGUUGAUACUGAUUGACUUGAGUAUUGACGAAGAGGGCGGAAUUGAAGGUGUAGCGGUGAAAUGCAUAGAUAUCUUCAAGAACACCGAUUGCGAAGGCAGCUCUCUAGGGAAUAACUGACGCUGAGGCACGAAAGCGUGGGUAGCAAACAGG